GACAGGGGGUGCGAGCGUUAAUCGGAGUGAUUGGGCGUAAAGGGCGUGUAGGUGGUGAACUGAGUUGAAUGUGAAAGCCUUGAGCUUAACUCAAGAAAUGCAUUCAGGACUGGAUGACUAGAGGACCGGAGAGGAUAGUGGAAUUCCCAGUGUAGUGGUGAAAUACGUAGAGAUUGGGAAGAACACCAGUGGCGAAGGCGGCUAUCUGGACGGUUUCUGACGCUAAGACGCGAAAGCGUGGGGAGCAAACAGG
rnacentral:rRNA from 1 species